GGGUCCUACGGGAGGCAGCAGUGAGGAAUAUUGGUCAAUGGUCGGGAGACUGAACCAGCCAAGCCGCGUGAGGGAGGAAGGUACAGAGUAUCGUAAACCUCUUUUGUCAGGGAACAAAGGCGGGGACGUGUCCCCGGAUGAGUGUACCUGAAGAAAAAGCAUCGGCUAACUCCGUGCCAGCAGCCGCGGUAAUACGGAGGAUGCGAGCGUUAUCCGGAUUUAUUGGGUUUAAAGGGGGCGCAGGCGGGCUGUUAAGUCAGCGGGCAAAGCCCGGGGGUCAACCCCGGCCCGCCGUUGAAACUGGG
rnacentral:rRNA from 1 species